rnacentral:rRNA from 1 species
ACUCCUGCGGGAGGCAGCAGUGGGGAAUAUUAGACAAUGGGCGCAAGCCUGAUCCAGCCAUGCCGCGUGAGUGAUGAAGGCCCUAGGGUUGUAAAGCUCUUUCACCGGUGAAGAUAAUGACGGUAACCGGAGAAGAAGCCCCGGCUAACUUCGUGCCAGCAGCCGCGGUAAUACGAAGGGGGCUAGCGUUGUUCGGAUUUACUGGGCGUAAAGCGCACGUAGGCGGACUAUUAAGUCAGGGGUGAAAUCCCGGGGCUCAACCCCGGAACUGCCUUUGAUACUGGUAGUCUUGAGUUCGAGAGAGGUGAGUGGAAUUCCGAGUGUAGAGGUGAAAUUCGUAGAUAUUCGGAGGAACACCAGUGGCGAAGGCGGCUCACUGGCUCGAUACUGACGCUGAGGUGCGAAAGCGUGGGGAGCAAACAGGAUUAGAAACCCGUGUAGUCCCAUGAU